rnacentral:rRNA from 1 species
AGAGUUUGAUCAUGGCUCAGAACGUACGCUGGCGGCACGCCUUAUACAUGCAAGUCGAACGGAGUAGCAAUACUUAGUGGCAGACGGGUGAGUAACAUGUGGGUAUCUUCCCUUUGGUGAGGAAUAACACGAGGAAACUUGUGCUAAUACCUCAUAAGUCUUUACGGAGAAAGCUUUAUGCGCCAAUGGAUGAGCCUGCACUUGAUUAGUUUGUUGGUGGGGUAAUGGCCUACCAAGACUUUGAUCAAUAGCUGAUCUGAGAGGAUGAUCAGCCACAUUGGGACUGAGACACGGCCCAAACUCCUACGGGAGGCAGCAGUAGGGAAUAUUGCACAAUGGAGGAAACUCUGAUGCAGCGAUGCCGCGUGAGUGAAGAAGGCCUUUGGGUUGUAAAGCUCUUUCGUCGGGGAAGAAAAUGACUGUACCCGAAUAAGAAGGUCCGGCUAACUUCGUGCCAGCAGCCGCGGUAAUACGAAGGGACCUAGCGUAGUUCGGAAUUACUGGGCUUAAAGAGUUCGUAGGUGGUUAAAAAAGUUGGUUGUGAAAUCCCAGAGCUUAACUCUGGAACUGCAAUCAAAACUUUUUAGCUAGAGUAUGAUAGAGGAAAGCAGAAUUUCUAGUGUAGAGGUGAAAUUCGUAGAUAUUAGAAAGAAUACCAAUUGCGAAGGCAGCUUUCUGGAUCAUUACUGACGCUGAGGAACGAAAGCAUGGGUAGCGAAGAGGAUUAGAUACCCUCGUAGUCCAUGCCGUAAACGAUGUGUGUUAG